rnacentral:rRNA from 1 species
GACGAACGCUGGCGGCGUGCUUAACACAUGCAAGUCGAACGGAAAGGCCCUGCUUUUGUGGGGUUCUCGAGUGGCGAACGGGUGAGUAACACGUGAGUAACCUGCCCUUGACUUUGGUAUAACUUCAGGAAACUGGGGCUAAUACCGGAUAGGAGCUCCUGCUCCAUGGUGGGGGUUGGAAAGUUUCGGCGGUUGGGGAUGGACUCGCGGCUUAUGAGCUUGUUGGUUGGGUAGUGGCUUACCAAGGCUUUGGCGGAUAGCCGGCCUGUGAGGGGGGACGGGGACAUUGGGACUGAGAGACGGAGCAGACGGCUACGGGGGGCAGUAGGGGGGAAUAUUGCACAAUGGGAGGAAGCGUGAGGAAGAGACGCUGGGGGCGGGAAGACGGCCUUCGGGUUGAAAACCGCUUUCGCCUGUGACGAAGCGGGAGUGACGGUAAUGGGUAAAGAAGCACCGGCUAACUACGUG